rnacentral:rRNA from 1 species
GAUGAACGCUGGCGGCGUGCCUAAUACAUGCAAGUCGAGCGAACAGACGAGAUUGCUUGCCCUAUCUGACGUUAGCGGCGGACGGGUGUGUAACACGUGGGUAACCUACCUAUGAGACUGGGAUCACUUCGGGACACCGGAUCUAAUCCCGGAUAAUAUUUAGCUUCGCAUGAUGCAAUAGUGAAAGACGAUUCUGCUGUCCCUUAUAGAUGGACCCGCGGGUUAUUAGCUAGUUGGUGAGGUAACGGAUCACCAAGGCAACGCUCCAUAGCCGACCUGAGAGGUGGAUCGCCAACAUUGGAACUGAGCCACGCCCCAGACUCCUACGGGAGGCAGAAGUAGGGAAUCUUCGGAAAGGGAGGAAGUCCUGCCGGAGCAAGGCCGCGUGAUUGAAGAGGUUUUUCGGAUCGUAAAACUCGGUUGUAAGGGAAGAACAAGUACGUUAGUAACUGAACGUACCUUGACGGUACCUAACCAGAAAGCCACGGCUAACUACGUG